ensembl:lncRNA
AUCCUCAUCUCUGCUCAUUUCCUGUUGGUGUCAAGAUGUAAGGACUCACCAUGAUGAUGUUGUCAUAUGUGUUCUCCUUUGGCAGCAUCAGCACACCAAGAAUCCAGAAGUAAUCCACUAUAAAUCCAGGAAAGAAAUGGGAAGAAAACUGCCAAGUAUUUGCUUCUACACCCAUGGUAUCGUUUGGAGCAUGGGCCUGGAGACAAGGUGCACAACCAUCCCCCAGGGCUUCUUGCCAUACACAACUCUCCAUGCAAGCCCUUCCCUUGGUAUAAUGAUGAUACAUGGUUUUCUAGUGAAAGCAAACUCAUCAAUAGAUGAACCACAAGGAAAAAAACAACAACAGUAGUAGCAGUAUAAACCUAUUAUUUAAAAAUAGCAAUGCUUUGGGCUGAUACUUGAUGCAUUGAAACUGGGCAUGGCUAGCAUUUUAUGCACAUGUGUACUCAAGCAACAGACACACAGAGAACAGCAUCUAUUUCUGACCACUUAGCAGCUCUCUUUCCCCACCUCCAGUUUGCAACACACUGUUUUGAGAAAAAUCUGUGAUUAUUGUUAAAUUGGCAUGUGUAUCAGAAGUGCCUGGUCAAGGGACACAUCUCUCAGCUUGUAUAUGUAUGUGUGACUUCUAUUCAGAAAAUGGGCAUUGUUAUUAUUAAGCAUAAGGCAUAAAAAAUGUAAUAGCAACAAAUGCCAUUCCAAGAUAUUACAUUCUUGAAAUUUAAUCAAGGAUCUUUUCAAGAGCAGACCUUUAAAUCUCACUGAAAAUCUUGUUCUAUCUAUAAAGAGAUCACUCCUCUGUGCCCCCAAUGAGAACCGACUCUCCAGAUAUCCAAGGCUUUAUUACAGAGAUCAGUUCUGAACUCAUCAAGUUAAUAGUAACAACAAAAGUCCUGACAUUGAAAUUGAAAGCCUUUGAAAAUGAUCAGCUCCUUGCUGAAGUACGUAAAAAUAAUGGCUAUAAAAAGGGCUUUAGAUUUUUGAAGGAUCUUUACUGGAUCCUUAGCUGAGAAUUCUUAGCAGUGACACUAAUACAUCAUAAUUAACUGCUUUUCCUUCUGAACCUCUCAGCGUCAUCCAUGCUAUUUACUCAAAGAAAGGAAGGAAGAGGAGCACUGGACUGGUAAAAAAUAGACACAUUCAGUGACCUCUUUGUUUCAGAACAGUCACUGUCUAGGGCUGUUCCUACCAUUAGGCAGUGAGAGGCUGCUGCUUCAACUAGCAGAUGCAAGGGGGCAUGGAGAUGUAGUGACAUACUGGCAGGCAGAGCUGGAGUUGAUUGAUUCUUGUGCCAAGCACAUCAUUGGUGUCAGUUCCAUGAGAAACACAUAUUUGUACACUAUCAGUCCUUGCCAUGGUGCGGCUUCAUUUAACCACAUUGAUACAACACAGAGAUAUUGUAUACUGACUGAAAAAAAUGAUUCUUAUAUGGAAGAUAUUAGAUUGAAAAAAAAAUACCUUCAAAGGUACCUAUGAUUGUAAUGGUUGCAAAAUGCCCUUCCUUUUGAAUCCUGUACAUUUAAUCCGUGGCUCUGGCAAAUAGCUGGCUCAUCCAUAAUUUCCCAGAACCGAACCUGAAAGCCUUCAGAUCAGCCCACCUAUUUGACAUGGUGGGGAAGGAUACUUUUAGCAGGAGAGAGAGUGAUAUGCAAGAGAUUUAGUACUAGGAGGCAUGUGUCAAAAGUGAAAUCUUUCAUGCCUCAAGCAAGUUGCUUUCUUUCUCUGUGACUUCUUUUGAAUGGGGGUCAUUAAGGCAAGGCAGUGCGUUCGUGUGCUGCGAACUGUCAUGGUUUCACUUGCAAGCGAGAGGUAGGAAAGAAUAAUAAAUCAGGAGUUGAAGGUCUGUCA